AGAGUUUGAUCCUGGCUCAGAGUUAACGUUGGCGGCGUGCCUAACACAUGCAAGUCGAACGCGUCCUAAGGGCAACUUUAGGAUGAGUGGCGAACGGGUGAGUAUCACGUGGGUAAUCUUCCUUCAAGUGGGGAAUAAGCUCUCGAAAGGGAGUCUAAUACCGCAUGACAUUCCGGGACACAAGUCCCGUAAUCAAAGCCGCAAGGCGCUUGAAGAUGAGCCUGCGUCCUAUUAGCUAGUUGGUGGGGUAACGGCCUACCAAGGCUCAGAUGGGUAGCCGGCCUGAGAGGGUGAACGGCCACACUGGGACUGAGACACGGCCCAGACUCCUACGGGAGGCAGCAGUGAGGAAUUUUGCGCAAUGGGGGAAACCCUGACGCAGCGACGCCGCGUGGAGGAUGAAGGCCUUCGGGUCGUAAACUCCUGUCAGAGGUGAAGAAUGCCCGCAAGGGUUUGACGGUAACCUCAGAGGAAGCCCCGGCUAACUACGUGCCAGCAGCCGCGGUAAUACGUAGGGGGCAAGCGUUGCUCGGAAUUACUGGGCGUAAAGGGUGAGUAGGCGGUCGGGCAAGUCAAGGAUGAAAUCCCGAGGCUCAACUUCGGAAUUGUUCUUGAAACUGCUCGGCUUGAGGGUAGUUGAGGAGAGUGGAAUUCCCGGUGGAGCGGUGAAAUGCGUAGAUAUCGGGAGGAACACCUGAGGCGAAAGCGGUUCUCUAGACUACUCCUGACGCUGAGGCACGAAAGCUAGGGGAGCAAACGGGAUUAGAUACCCCGGUAGUCCUAGCCAUCAACUAUGGAUACUGGAUAUUCCUGCACUCAUGUGGGAGUGUCGAAGCCAACGCGUUAAGUAUCCCGCCUGGGGAGUACGGUCGCAAGAUUGAAACUCAAAGGAAUUGACGGGGGCCCGCACAAGCGGUGGAGCAUGU
rnacentral:rRNA from 1 species